UGUGAAUCGUGAGUUCAAUUUCUCUGAUUUUAAAAACACUCAAAUUAUUCAAUUUUUCUAAACAAACUUCUUUUGGAAGACCAGAAAACUUCGAAUACUUGAGAUUCAAUUGUGUUUAUGAAAUUUUUUUAGCGCCUAAAAUAGUGAAGAAAAGGCAACGCUCUUGAAAUCAGAUCUAGAAAUGUACUUUCGAAUGUUUCCAACGUUACCCCAGCUGUAGUAUAUAUGGAAAAGAUAUGAAGACUUACAAUCAGAGUCACCUUCAUAGCCUUAAAAUCAUACUUAGAAGAGAACUUAGGCGUGCUCCCGCCAAGCGCGUGGGCUCGUACCUUGCAUUUCGUAUAUAGGGUAAUCGCCAUGUUUAACCGUCAUAUGGAUACAUGAAUUGUCUAUUUUUCAGAGGGAAAAUAGGUGGAGCUAUUGUAUGCAACGUUGGAAACUGAAUUUGUUUAAUCUCUUUGAAAAGGUCGUGAAUUUAUCUACGAUUUGAAUAAGCAAUUAUCUUUUGGAUAAUUCACAAACCUACAAAUAUAAUUUCUAUAUGAAAUCAAAAGUAGCAUGUUAUUAAGAUCAUGGGUCUGGCACUUAACAAGGAACAUUGGAAAUUGAACAAGCCCAUUUUCACAUUUUAUAUAUGUAAUCUUCCCAAGGAACGCAUUUCAGCUUCUUGCAGCAAGGUAUCGAGAGUUGGUAAUGUCCUUUAAUUUUAGGCAUGUUAGGCUUGUUGGAUAUUGGAGUUAGAUAUGUUGAUGUCGUUGAUGUCAACAUAUUUUUGUGUUUUGGUGUUUUAUAAAAUUGUUUUGGUGAUCCGUUGAUUGCAGUGAAUUGAUUUGGUUGGUCUAUUUGUUUGGGAUAUUGGAAUAUUUCAUUUCUUAUUGGUUUUAGUGAUUCGGAAGUUUACUUGAUCAUAUCAUUUGAUCUGGUUUGAGGUUUGGUUUUUCAGAGUCUGGUAUUUGAUCUGGUGAGCUCUGAUAUGAUUAUAUCUUUGUGUUGCAGAUUUGGAAAAAUGUUUUGGAUGUUCGUGUGUAUCUUCAUUUCAAAUGGUUCAUGAUUUGUAUUUUGGUGGUGUAAUGUGUUGCGGUUGAUCUUGGCAAGAUUUUCGAUGGUGGUACGUGUUUGAGAAGUUGAUUUAGGUCCAUGCUAUGUCGUUUGACAUUGUAUCGGUCCGGCGGUUAAUUUAUGUAUCAUGUGAUGUAAUUUUGUAAUUAGGUGCUAUGGGUUUGGUUGACCUUGUAGUGAAGGUUGAUGAUUUUUAUAAAUGAGUGUAAUAUUCAUAUAAUUUGGGGUUGUAGGUGUUGAGUUUGCAUUAUCAAAGAGUGGUGUAUGUGCGAACAAGUGAAUUCAUCUUUCGAUGUGGUGUGUUGAGCAGUGAUUGAUGAAGGGUAGACAUUUGAGCUUAAUCAAAACUGUCAUUAGGCAUUAGCAGAUGCUAUUUUUGCAGUUCAUUCUUUUUGGAUUGUAGUCCAAAUCUUUUUGUAAGGUAGUGAACCUUCCCUGAAGGUUGGAGCCUUCUAAGUCAUUGUAAUUUGAGCAGUGAGCUUCAGGAAGUGUGUUUAAAUGUAUGUGCAUUUCCCAUUGUAAUAUUUACAUGUAUUAUUGUAGAUUAUCAUUUCAUCG